rnacentral:rRNA from 1 species
GUGGGGAAUAUUGGGCAAUGGGGGCAACCCUGACCCAGCGACGCCGCGUGGGUGAAGAAAUCCCUCGGGAUGUAAAGCCCUGUUGUAUGGGAAGAGCAGAAGACGGUACCAUACGAGGAAGCCCCGGCAAACUACGUGCCAGCAGCCGCGGUAAUACGUAGGGGGCAAGCGUUGUCCGGAAUUACUGGGCGUAAAGCGCACGCAGGCUGAAUUAUAAGUCGGUAGUCAAAUACGGAGGCUCAACUUCCGGAUAUCUAUCGAUACUGUAAAUCUAGAGUAUGUGAGAGGGAAGCGGAAUGCCCGGUGUAGCGGUGAAAUGCGUAGAUAUCGGGAGGAACACCAGUGGCGAAGGCGGCUUCCUGGCACAAUACUGACGCUCAUGUGCGAAAGCUAGGGCAGCGAACGGGAUUAGAAACCCCUGUAGUCC